rnacentral:rRNA from 1 species
UGGGGAAUUUUUGGACAAUGGGCGAAAGCCUGAUCCAGCAAUGCCGCGUGUGUGAAGAAGGCCUUCGGGUUGUAAAGCGCUUUUGUCCGGAAAGAAAUCCUUGGCUCUAAUACAGUCGGGGGAUGACGGUACCGGAAGAAUAAGCACCGGCUAACUACGUGCCAGCAGCCGCGGUAAUACGUAGGGUGCAAGCGUUAAUCGGAAUUACUGGGCGUAAAGCGUGCGCAGGCGGUUUGCUAAGACCGAUGUGAAAUCCCCGGGCUCAACCUGGGAACUGCAUUGGUGACUGGGCAGGCUAGAGUAUGGCAGAGGGGGGUAGAAUUCCACGUGUGAGCAGUGAAAUGCGUAGAGAUGUGGAGGAAUACCGAUGGCGAAGGCAGCCCCCUGGGCCAAUACUGACGCUCAUGCACGAAAGCGUGGGGAGCAAACAGGAUUAGGAUACCCUGGUAGUCCACGCCCUAAAACGAUGU